rnacentral:misc_RNA from 1 species
ACCCAACUUAAGUUGCACAAUCUGAUUUUACACGAAUUCACUACUUGGCAAACACAGAAAAAAGAGAAAAACUAUUCUAAGAUCCAAGUCUAAACUCCGUUGUCUGAGUAAAUACUUUACAGCUGCUUAUAACUUAUGCAGCAUAUACUAAUAUCCUAGGACAGUUAAGCACGUGCUACUGCACUCUUUACCUAAACCUGGGUCUCUUGGAAAUGUUGCUAGAGAGAUUUCUUCUCUCUGGAGGACGACCUUUCCCAAAAGGCUUCAUAUUCCUCCUCUUCCUAUCAUUGUCACUGUCUGAUUCAGCCCCUUUCUCUCUGUCGGCAUUGCUUGCUUCUCUUUCCAGCUCUUCCCAUGUUUUCCCUUCUUCUUCUGAAUAUUCCUCAGAGUCCUCCCCUUCAUCAUCAUCUGACUCAACUAGUGAUGCGCUUUCAUCAUCUUCCUCGUCUGAUGAGACGGGCUCUACAUCUGAAGGUUCAUAUCCUUGAUCAGACUCCUGUGAGUUCUCAGAUUCCGAAUCAGUACCUUCUAAAUUCAAAAAUUCCCAUCCACCA